rnacentral:miRNA from 1 species
CGAUGAUGAUGAUGGUGAUGAUGAUGAUCAUCGUCAUCAUCUUCAACG